GCCUUGCUGGCUCAGUUGGUGGAGCAUGUGACUCUUGAUCCUGGGGUUGUGAGUUCGAGACCCACGUUGGGUA
rnacentral:tRNA from 1 species